GAUGAACGCUAGCGGGAGGCCUAACACAUGCAAGCCGAGCGGGAUUUGUUGGUUAGCUUGCUAACUAACAAUGAGAGCGGCGUACGGGUGCGUAGCACUUGUGCAACCUGCCUUUAUCUGGGGGAUAGCCUUUCGAAAGGAAGAUUAAUACCCCAUAACAUAUUGAUUGGCAUCAGUUAAUAUUGAAAGCUCCGGCGGAUAGAGAUGGGCACGCGUAAGAUUAGCUAGUUGGUGAGGUAACGGCUCACCAAGGCUGCGAUCUUUAGGGGGCCUGAGAGGGUGAUCCCCCACACUGGUACUGAGACACGGACCAGACUCCUACGGGAGGCAGCAGUGAGGAAUAUUGGACAAUGGGUGAGAGCCUGAUCCAGCCAUCCCGCGUGAAGGACUAAGGACCUAUGGUUUGUAAACUUCUUUUAUACAGGGAUAAACCUACUCUCGUGAGGGUAGCUGAAGGUACUGUAUGAAUAAGCACCGGCUAACUCCGUG
rnacentral:rRNA from 1 species